rnacentral:rRNA from 1 species
AGAGUUUGAUCCUGGCUCAGGAUGAACGCUGGCGGCGUGCCUAAUACAUGCAAGUCGAACGGGGAGAAAGUAGCAAUACUAUCUUCCAGUGGCGAACGGGUGAGUAACGCGUUGGUGACCUGCCCCGAAGUGGGGGAUAACAGUUCGAAAGGGCUGCUAAUACCGCAUGUGGUUGGAGAGAUUAGAGGCUUUCCAACUGGAGGUGCAAACCGCUUCGGGAGGGGCCUGCGACCCAUCAGCUAGUUGGUAGGGUAAAGGCCUACCAAGGCAACGACGGGUAGGGGACCUGAGAGGGUGACCCCCCACACUGGCACUGAAACACGGGCCAGACACCUACGGGUGGCAGCAGUAGGGAAUAUUGCACAAUGGGCGCAAGCCUGAUGCAGCAACGCCGCGUGCGCGAUGAAGGCCUUCGGGUCGUAAAGCGCUUUUCUGGAGGACGAGCAAGGACGGUACUCCAGGAAGAAGGAUCGGCUAACUACGUGCCAGCAGCCGCGGUAACACGUAGGAUCCGAGCGUUAUCCGAAUUUACUGGGCGUAAAGCGCGUGCAGGCGGUUUGGUAAGUUGGACGUGAAAUCUCCCGGCUCAACUGGGAGGGGUCGUUCAAGACUGCCAGACUAGAGGGCAGUAGAGGGAGGUGGAAUUCCCGGUGUAGUGGUGAAAUGCGUAGAUAUCGGGAGGAACACCAGUGGCGAAAGCGGCCUCCUGGGCUGCACCUGACGCUCAGACGCGAAAGCUAGGGGAGCGAACGGGAUUAGAUACCCCGGUAGUCCUAGCUGUAAACGAUGUGGACUUGGCGUCGGUGGGUUCAAAUCCGCCGGUGCCGCAGCUAACGCGCUAAGUCCACCGCCUGGGGACUACGGCCGCAAGGUUAAAACUCAAAGGAAUUGACGG